CCUACGGGUGGCAGCAGUGGGGGAUAUUGCACAAUGGAGGAAACUCUGAUGCAGCGACGCCGCGUGAGGGAAGACGGUCUUCGGAUUGUAAACCUCUGUCUGUGGGGAAGAAAAGGACGGUACCCAAAGAGGAAGCAACGGCUAACGACGUGACAGCAGCCGCGGUAAUACGUAGGGAGCGAGAGUUGUCCGGAAUUACUGGGUGUAAAGGGAGCGUAGGCGGGCGAGAAAGUUGAAUGUUAAAUCUACCGGCUUAACUGGUAGCUGCGUUCAAAACUUCUGGUCUUGAGUGAAGUAGAGGCAGUCGGAAUUCCUAGUGUAGCGGUGAAAUGCGUAGAUAUUAGGAGGAACACCAGUGGCGAAGGCGGCCUGCUGGGCUUUACCUGCCGCUGAGGCUC
rnacentral:rRNA from 1 species